ACUCAAAGGAAUUGACGGGGGCUCACACAAGCGGUGGAGGAUGUGGUUUAAUUCGAAGCAACGCGAAGAACCUUACCAGGUCUUGACAUUCCGGGAUUAACUGCGUGAAAGCGCGGGGAUUGCCCUCAAAGCGUAACCGGAACAGGUGCUGCAUGGCUGUCGUCAGCUCGUGCCGUGAGGUGUUAGGUUAAGUCCUUUAACGAGCGAAACCCCUACGACUAGUUACCAGCGGGUAAUGCCGGGGACUCUAGUCGGACUGCCGCGAAAGUAGGAGGAAGGUGGGGACGACGUCAAGUCAUCAUGGCCUUUAUGAUCUGGGCUACACACGUCCUACAAUGGGUGGUACAAAGGGCUGCGAAGUCGCGAGACGGAGCCAAUCCUAUAAAGCCACCCUCAGUUCAGAUUGUGGGCUGCAAUUCGCCCACAUGAAGCUGGAAUCGCUAGUAAUCGCGGAUCAGCUACGCCGCGGUGAAUAUGUUCCUGAGCCUUGUACACACCGCCCGU
rnacentral:rRNA from 1 species